UUAAGUUAAUAAGGGCGCACGGUGGAUGCCUUGGCACUAGGAGCCGAAGAAGGACGUGACAAACGACGAAAUGCCUCGGGGAGCUGUAAGUAAGCGCAGAUCCGGGGAUGUCCGAAUGGGGGAACCCAACAGGUACUACCUGUUACCCAUCUCUGUUAAGGAGAUGAGGAGGAAGACGCAGUGAACUGAAACAUCUAAGUAGCUGCAGGAAGAGAAAGCAAAAGCGAUUGCCUUAGUAGCGGCGAGCGAAACGGCAGGAGGGCAAACCGAAGAGUUUACUCUUCGGGGUUGUAGGACUGCAAUGUGGACUCAAAGAUUAUAGAAGAAUGAUUUGGGAAGAUCAGCCAAAGAGAGUAACAGCCUCGUAUUUAAAAUAGUCUUUGUACCUAGCAGUAUCCUGAGUACGGCGGGACACGUGAAAUCCCGUCGGAAUCUGGGAGGACCAUCUCCCAACCCUAAAUACUCCCUAGUGACCGAUAGUGAACCAGUACCGUGAGGGAAAGGUGAAAAGCACCCCGGGAGGGGAGUGAAAGAGAACCUGAAACCGUGUGCCUACAACAAGUUCGAGCCCGUUAAUGGGUGAGAGCGUGCCUUUUGUAGAAUGAACCGGCGAGUUACGAUAUGAUGCGAGGUUAAGUUGAAGAGACGGAGCCGUAGGGAAACCGAGUCUGAAUAGGGCGAAUUAGUAUCAUGACGUAGACCCGAAACCAUGUGACCUACCCAUGAGCAGGUUGAAGGUGCGGUAAGACGCACUGGAGGACCGAACCAGGGCACGUUGAAAAGUGCUUGGAUGACUUGUGGGUAGCGGAGAAAUUCCAAACGAACUUGGAGAUAGCUGGUUCUCUCCGAAAUAGCUUUAGGGCUAGCGUCGACAUCAAGAUUCUUGGAGGUAGAGCACUGUUUGGGUGAGGGGUCCAUCCCGGAUUACCAAUCUCAGAUAAACUCCGAAUGCCAAUGAAUUAUGGUCGGCAGUCAGACUGCGAGUGCUAAGAUCCGUAGUCGAAAGGGAAACAGCCCAGACCACCAGCUAAGGUCCCAAAAUAAUUGUUAAGUGGAAAAGGAUGUGGGGUUGCACAGACAACUAGGAUGUUAGCUUAGAAGCAGCUAUUCAUUCAAAGAGUGCGUAAUAGCUCACUAGUCGAGUGACCCUGCGCCGAAAAUGUACCGGGGCUAAAACAAUUUACCGAAGCUGUGGAUACCUUUAUAGGUAUGGUAGGAGAGCGUUCUAUGUGUGAAGAAGGUAUACCGUGAGGAGUGCUGGAACGCAUAGAAGUGAGAAUGCCGGUAUGAGUAGCGAAAGACAGGUGAGAAUCCUGUCCACCGUAAGACUAAGGUUUCCAGGGGAAGGCUCGUCCGCCCUGGGUUAGUCGGGACCUAAGGAGAGACCGAAAGGUGUAUCCGAUGGACAACAGGUUGAUAUUCCUGUACUAGAGUAUGUAGUGAUGGAGGGACGCAGUAGGCUAACUAAAGCAGACGAAUGGAAGUGUCUGUCUAAGCAGUGAGGUGUGAAUUGAGUUAAAUGCUUAGUUCUAUAACAUUGAGCUGUGAUGGGGAGCGAAGUUUAGUAGCGAAGUUAGUGACGUCACACUGCCAAGAAAAGCUUCUAGCGUUUAAACAUACUCUACCCGUACCGCAAACCGACACAGGUAGUCGAGGCGAGUAGCCUCAGGUGAGCGAGAGAACUCUCGUUAAGGAACUCGGCAAAAUGACCCCGUAACUUCGGGAGAAGGGGUGCUGACUUUAAGUCAGCCGCAGUGAAUAGGCCCAAGCAACUGUUUAUCAAAAACACAGCUCUCUGCUAAAUCGUAAGAUGAUGUAUAGGGGGUGACGCCUGCCCGGUGCUGGAAGGUUAAGAGGAGUGCUUAGCGGUAACGCGAAGGUAUGAAUUGAAGCCCCAGUAAACGGCGGCCGUAACUAUAACGGUCCUAAGGUAGCGAAAUUCCUUGUCGGGU
rnacentral:rRNA from 1 species